GGCCCUUGCCAUUAAAUGGACAAAGGACAGUGAAGAUUCUGCCAUCCCGGUGGCGGUGGACGGGCACCGGCUGAUCCAGGCCAACGGCACAGUGGUCCUGCGCUCAGUGAAAGCAGAGGAUUCUGGGUAUUACGCCUGCACCACCACCAACACCUGGGGCUUUGAUACCAUCAUCAACCUGCUGGUGCAAGAGGGAGAAUUUCCCUAUCUUGGGAGCAGCUGAUCUUCCAGGACAGGGAGGAGCAUGUUCACCUGAGCAGAGGCCUGGAACCAGAAAGGGAUCAUCCAGGAGCCCCAGCCAGAGGAGAAGCUGGAAGAAGAGGAUCUGAGCAGCCUGGACAUCCUUGUAAGCAGAGAUGAACAGUCCUCCGCUUUCUGUCUUCUCCAUGAUUGGCUGGAGAAGUCACCACGCGUGAGAAUCCACUGCCCUAAUGUGAUGGAAAGCGAUCGUGAGCAUUGUUGAUGCCAUGCAAAAGCCGUCCAUCGUGGAGCUCAACAGUCACCACUGUCAGUGAGAUAAGUGUCUGAUUUGGUGAUUGGUCUGUUCAUGGCCCAUCUGUCUCUAUGUAGGGACACACCCUUAGCUGGGGCUGGGUUUGUAAGAAAAUGUUCUUGACUAGCUGUGGUUACGAGGGAGACAAGGUCCCCAAAUUCAGGGGCUGAUAAUUUCUCUGGCCAAGAGCAAUAUG